rnacentral:tRNA from 1 species
UCCGGGCUAGCUCAACGGUGGAGCAGGCCGCUGUUAACGGCAAGGUUCUAGGUUCGAGUCCUAGGCCCGGAGCCA